UGACCUUUCACGUGACACUGGCGCACGAG
rnacentral:sRNA from 1 species